rnacentral:rRNA from 1 species
AUGCAAGCCGAGCGGUAUUGUUUCUUCGGAAAUGAGAGAGCGGCGUACGGGUGCGGAACACGUGUGCAACCUGCCUUUAUCUGGGGGAUAGCCUUUCGAAAGGAAGAUUAAUACCCCAUAAUAUUUUUGAUGGCAUCAUUAGAAAUUGAAAACUCCGGUGGAUAGAGAUGGGCACGCGCAAGAUUAGAUAGUUGGUGAGGUAACGGCUCACCAAGUCUACGAUCUUUAGGGGGCCUGAGAGGGUGAUCCCCCACACUGGUACUGAGACACGGACCAGACUCCUACGGGAGGCAGCAGUGAGGAAUAUUGGACAAUGGGUGAGAGCCUGAUCCAGCCAUCCCGCGUGAAGGACGACGGCCCUAUGGGUUGUAAACUUCUUUUGUAUAGGGAUAAACCUACUCUCGUGAGAGUAGCUGAAGGUACUAUACGAAUAAGCACCGGCUAACUCCGUGCCAGCAGCCGCGGUAAUACGGAGGGUGCAAGCGUUAUCCGGAUUUAUUGGGUUUAAAGGGUCCGUAGGCGGAUCUGUAAGUCAGUGGUGAAAUCUCACAGCUUAACUGUGAAACUGCCAUUGAUACUGCAGGUCUUGAGUGUUGUUGAAGUAGCUGGAAUAAGUAGUGUAGCGGUGAAAUGCAUAGAUAUUACUUAGAACACCAAUUGCGAAGGCAGGUUACUAAGCAACAACUGACGCUGAUGGACGAAAGCGUGGGGAGCGAACAGGAUUAGAUACCCUGGUAGUCCACGCCGUAAACGAUGCUAACUCGUUUUUGGAUUUUCGGAUUCAGAGACUAAGCGAAAGUGAUAAGUUAGCCACCUGGGGAGUACGUUCGCAAGAAUGAAACUCAAAGGAAUUGACGGGGGCCCGCACAAGCGGUGGAUUAUGUGGUUUAAUUCGAUGAUACGCGAGGAACCUUACCAAGGCUUAAAUGGGAAAUGACAGGUUUAGAAAUAGACUUUUCUUCGGACAUUUUUCAAGGUGCUGCAUGGUUGUCGUCAGCUCGUGCCGUGAGGUGUUAGGUUAAGUCCUGCAACGAGCGCAACCCCUGUCACUAGUUGCCAUCAUUAAGUUGGGGACUCUAGUGAGACUGCCUACGCAAGUAGAGAGGAAGGUGGGGAUGACGUCAAAUCAUCACGGCCCUUACGCCUUGGGCCACACACGUAAUACAAUGGCCGGUACAGAGGGCAGCUACACAGCGAUGUGAUGCAAAUCUCGAAAGCCGGUCUCAGUUCGGAUUGGAGUCUGCAACUCGACUCUAUGAAGCUGGAAUCGCUAGUAAUCGCGCAUCAGCCAUGGCGCGGUGAAUACGUUCCCGGGCCUUGUACACACCGCCCGUCAAGC